AGACAGACCACUUAGAGCGUUGCUAUGGUUGUGUUUUGUAUAACGUAGUGAUUAUGAUUAAAUAUACUCUUUGUAAAUAACCAAAUAAAAAAAAAACCAAAAUAGAAAUUCAAAUUAGAUUUUAGAUUUUCUCAUUGCAGUUACUUAAUUUAAUUCCAGUGAUUUUUUAACAUUAAAAUAAGGUACAAGUAGUAUCUUAGACUUGUAUACAAUGAUAAACUUAAAAUUGGAGAUAUACCGAGAUAUUUUUUAAUAACGCAGUGAUUACAUAUUCUUUGUUUAAUACUUUGAAGUAAACAUAUCCUUCAAUAUUCCGUAAAUUGAAUCUUAGUAAAAGCUAGAUUUAAAGAUCUAAACAAAAUGAAGUGUUGUGUGCCUUCGUGUGGGAUUACAGCUGAUAAUUACAGGCCUAUUGUACUCGAUAGUAAUAUAAAGGAGGUUACUUUUCAUGAUAUGGAUUACAGAUUUCCUACUGUACCCUGGCUCAGGAAGUCGUGGCUGGUGGGAAUUGGUAUACGGGAACGCCACUUGCCACAAGGGGCCGUGGUUUGCUCUCAGCAUUUUCAGAAAUAUGAUUUCAAUUCGACUACAAAGAAGCUCAGAAAGAAAGCCGUCCCGUCUACAUUCAUAGCACCCAGCUCUGAUUCUACCAGUUUAGAUUUCUGCCUGAUAUGCCUAGACAUGGGAGCCAGUAAACUGUUUCCACUGAACAAGAGUCAUUUGGCGAGCGCUUACUCUAACAUAAUAGGACUCGAUAUGAGUGAUGUGUGUGACCUAAUCGCUAACCCGAAGCUGUGUUCAGAGUGUGCGCACAGGUUGAAUAAAUGCGACACAUUCAAACACAAAGCCCUGAGAGCUCACUCCAUAUUGAUCCAGCUGCUUCUAAAGGAUAAAGCUAUAACAUUAAAAGGAUUAAAAUCAGUUAACAGAGAGGGAAACUUACUAACGUCUAGUUUAGUAAAAGAUGCUUUUAAACCCGACCACUAUGACCUUUACGUGACACACAACGAAGAUGAAAAUAAUAUACCAAAGAAGGAAAACAUAAUAUGUAACCCCCAAAAAAAGAGUAAUUCAAAAAGUAAAAAAAAUGAUAAAACUAUACAUGAUUGCAAAAAGCGUAAAACAGUUUAUAAAAAAGAGAAUCUAAACGGACCAGGCGAUAGUGAAAAUAAUGAUUUUAAAGUUUCUAAUAACGUCAUCAAUAUUGAUCAUAAGGUGCAUGACAAAAAUAUCGGAAGUCAUGUUGUGUAUUAUAAAGAUAAAAUCAAUGAUAAUAUUAAUACCGCUAAUUCUGAUAAAAUUGCAAAUAAUAAAAGCGAUGUAUUUAUAAUAUAUGAUAGUGAUGAUAGUGAUGAUAAUGAUGGAGUGGAAUUUAUAGCUAAUAAAGACACUGUUCAUUAUAUUGAUGAUGACAUGAAAGGCCAUGAUAUCGGUGAUGUCAGUAAAUGUAAUAUGAGUGAUGAUAUUGAUCAUGAUAUCUAUGAUGGUAAACGUGAUAUGAUUGAUGACAUUGAUCAUGAUAUCGAUGAAGACGUUAAACGUGAUGUGAUAGAUGAUAUUGGUCAUGACAUUGAUGAUGGCAGUAAACGUAAUAUUAUUGAUGAGGACGUUAGACGUGAUGUGAUUGAUGAUGUAAUUAAUCAUGAUAUUGAUGUUGACGUUAGACCUGAUGUGAUAGAUAAUCUAAAUCAUGAUAUUGAUGAGGACGUUAGACGUGAUGUGAUUGAUGAUAUAAUUAAUCAUGAUAUUGAUGUUGACGUUAGACCUGAUGUGAUAGAUAAUCUAAGUCAUGAUAUUGAUGAGGACGUUAGACGUGAUGUGAUUGAUGAUAUUAUUGAUCAUGAUAUUGAUGAUAUUAUUGAUCAUGAUAUUGAUGAUGAUGUUACACAUGAUGUAAUAGAUGAUAUUAUUGAUCAUGAUAUUGAUGAUGAUGUUAGACAUGAUGUGAUAAAUGAUAUUAUUGAUCAUGAUAUUGAUGAUGACGUUAGACAUGAUGUGAUAAGUGAUAUUAUUGAUCAUGAUAUCGAUAAUGACGUUAGACAUGAUGUGAUAGAUGAUAUUAUUGAUCAUGAUAUUGAUGAUGAUGUUCGAUGUCAUGUGGUUGAUGAUAUUGAUUAUGAUAUUGAUGUUGACAUUGAUCAUGAUGUUGAUAGUGAUAACAUUGACAUUGAUAUGGAUCAUGAUGUUGAUGAACUUGUAAAAGACAACCACAGCAGUAAUACAUUACUAAACAAAUUAAAAAUUGAUAAUCAAUCGGAAAAUCAGAAUCUUGGAGUAAAUAAUGGCACUAAAUGCAAAAAUAAAACCGCGAAGCCAAACAAAAAUAAAACAAUAAAAUAACCAAGUGGUAGCGUACGCAAAGAGGUUAUACUUAGAAUGUGAUAAUGGAACCAAUAAUAAAAAUGAAGAUAACUUCAAAAAGACGAACAAUACGAUUUUUAAUAAUGAUGACCCACCUGGUGCAUUUAUCCAGAUUGUAGAUAUUAAAGAGGUUAUGAAAAAUAAAAAUGAAUCCAAUCUUACAAAAGAUGAAAAAUCAAAUAACAAAAGAAAUCUGACAUCUACACCAAAAAUCAGAAAAUGGUCCAAAAGAGAUAGAAAACCUAAAACAUACAUUCCUAGACCAAAAAUACAAGAUUGUACCGAAAAAGGCUUGCGAAUGUUCACGAGGACUAUGUUAACUUAUGAAGAACAGCUACAGGUGAUACAGAACAGGAAAUACUCCAAGCAAUAUAAGACGGCUGCCUUGCAAUGUGAGGUUUGCUUCAAAGGAUUUUGGCGAUCGGCUACUUAUAAUCGACACAUGGAAAGACAUACUGAUAAACAUCAAGACACACGCCCACUCUACAGGUGUGACAUAUGCGGCAAAACGAUGACGACAGCCGUCGGCUGGAACCAGCAUGUCGCCCACGUGCACCACAACGUGCCGUGGCCCAAGCGCAACCGCCGCGACAGGAGACCCAACACAAGAAGAGUGCGAAAACCUACUGGUGACACUAGUGACUCGCACGUAGAGGACACUGUUAAGAGUAGUGCGUCUGAUUAAUAAAUGAUAAAAGU